CUAUUACAAACAAAAGAUCUUCUAAAAAAUAUAUAGAGUCAUAAACAUUACCUCUUUACUUUGCUGAUGAUUAAUUUCUUUGUUCUCCAUCUCUUUCAACAAUUUCUCGAUCUUUUGUGUUAAAGUCUCAUUAUUUUUGCUCUUCUUCUGCAUUUUCUCCUCCUUAUCUCUCAAUUUCAGUUCUAAUUUUUCUAAUUCUUUGUUAUUUUUCUCAAUACACUGAAUGCUUGUUAACUGGGUUUGCUGUAUUUCUUUGGUUAAUUCAAUGAAUUUUGCUUUGAGUUCCAAAUUUUCUUUCCUUUGCCUUUCCAAUUCAUUGGAUAUUAAUUUCAUUUCU
rnacentral:lncRNA from 1 species